GAUGAAGAACGUAGCGAAAUGCGAUACGUAAUGUGAAUUGCAGAAUUCAGUGAAUCAUCGAAUCUUUGAACGCAUAUUGCGCUCUCUGGUAUUCCGGAGAGCAUGCUUGUUUGAGUAUCAGUAAACACCUCAACUUCCAUAUCUUUUUUGAAAUGGGAGUUGGACUUGAGUGAUCCCAACGCUUUUCCUCACCGAAAAGUGGCGGGUUACUUGAAAUGCAGGUGCAGCUGGACUUUUCUCUGAGCUAUAAGCAUAUCUAUUUAGUCUGCCUAAAAAACAGAUUAUUACCUUUGCUGCAGCUAACAUAAAGGAGAUUAGUUCUUGUGCUGACUGAUGCAGGAUUCACAAAGACAGGCUUCGGCCGACUUUGUAAACUCGAUCUCAAAGCAAGUAAGACUACCCGCUGAACUUAAGCAUAUCAAUAAGCGGAGGA
rnacentral:misc_RNA from 1 species